rnacentral:rRNA from 1 species
UACGUAGGGUGCAAGCGUUGUCCGGAAUUAUUGGGCGUAAAGAGCUCGUAGGCGGUCUGUCGCGUCGGCUGUGAAAACUCGGGGCUCAACUCCGAGCUUGCAGUCGAUACGGGCAGACUAGAGUUCGGCAGGGGAGACUGGAAUUCCUGGUGUAGCGGUGGAAUGCGCAGAUAUCAGGAGGAACACCGGUGGCGAAGGCGGCUCACUGGACCGGUUCUGACGCUGAAGCGCGAAAGCGUGGGGAGCAAACGGG